rnacentral:rRNA from 1 species
AACGAACGCUGGCGGCAUGCCUAACACAUGCAAGUCGAACGAGACCUUCGGGUCUAGUGGCGCACGGGUGCGUAACGCGUGGGAACCUGCCCUUAGGUUCGGAAUAACUCCCCGAAAGGGGUGCUAAUACCGGAUAAUGUCUUCGGACCAAAGGUUUAUCGCCUUUGGAUGGGCCCGCGUUGGAUUAGCUAGUUGGUAGGGUAAAAGCCUACCAAGGCGACGAUCCAUAGCUGGUCUGAGAGGAUGAUCAGCCACACUGGGACCGAGACACGGCCCAGACUCCUACAGGAGGCAGCAGUGGGGAAUAUUGGACAAUGGGCGAAAGCCUGAUCCAGCAAUGCCGCGUGAGUGAUGAAGGCCUUAGGGUUGUAAAGCUCUUUUACCCGGGAUGAUAAUGACAGUACCGGGAGAAUAAGCUCCGGCUAACUCCGUG